GUGCUCACUUUGACAGCACAUAUACUAAACCUACAAUGCUACAGAGAAGAUUAGCAUGGCCCCUGUGCAAGGAUGACACACAAAUUGGUGAAGUAUUCCAUAUUUUU
rnacentral:snRNA from 1 species